rnacentral:rRNA from 1 species
UGAGGAAUAUUGGUCAAUGGUCGCUAGACUGAACCAGCCAAGUAGCGUGCGGGAUGAAGGCCCUCCGGGUCGUAAACCGCUUUUAGACGGGGAUAAAAGGGCGUACGUGUACGCCGUAUUGCAUGUACCGUCAGAAAAAGGACCGGCUAAUUCCGUGCCAGCAGCCGCGGUAAUACGGAAGGUCCGGGCGUUAUCGGAUUAUUGGGUUAAAGGGAGCGUAGGCGGACUUUCAAGUCAGUGGUAAAAUCGUGUGGCUCAACCAUACCUCGCCAUUGAAACUGGAAGUCUGGAGUGCACACAGGGGUGCCGGAAUUCAUGGUGUAGCGGUGAAAUGCUUAGAUAUCAUGAAGAACUCCGAUCGCGAAGGCAAGUGCCCGGGGUGCAACUGACGCUGAGGCUCGAAGGUGCGGGUAUCGAACAGGAUUAGAUACC